rnacentral:lncRNA from 1 species
AAAUGGUUAUCAAAUUACUCCUUAGUUAAUUGUGGUUUGUGACAUUCAAUUAAUUCAUUAUCAGUAAAUUUAAUGACAUCAAAUGUCUUUAGGUCAUGUUUCCCUUCAAGGAAUAGAUUUGUAAGGAAUGAGCAUCAUUCAUAUUCAUGUGUUUACUAACAACCAAUGAUUUGAAGGGAGUGAGUAUGAUUUUCAUUUGUGUGUUUACUAGCAACCAUGGAAUGAAAAAAAAUUAUAAUUGAAUCCAUGUAUCCUAUAUCUUCUCAUACCUGAAAAAUCAAGGUACGAGUUUAGUAAUCAGAGUUGUUUAUCUAAUACCGAAUCCUUCGUAUCCUCAUUCCUUCAUUCAUGCCCUUAAAUAUAUAUUUAGAUUUGUGAAAACAUAUUGCGUUUUAAGUACCUAAUCCUUCGUAUCCUUAUUCCUUCUCAUGGUAAGUAAAAUAUUAUUAUUAAAGUAAACUUGGAGUAAUGAUAUGAAUUUUUGAGCAUAUCACUCUAUAAGAAAGUAAUUAAGAGCUAGCUAAACUUACAUGUAGCACUUGAAUAAAAGAGAAUGCUUCUUCUUCCAAAAAAAAAAAAAAAAGAGAAUGCUUCUUUCAUUGCACAACUAAUUAAUCACUUUUGAAGAUCACAUCUAAUUAUCUAUUCGAUGUUGACAUGUUGUUACCGUCGCAAACAUAACAAAUGGAUAAAAUGGAAAAGUGAAAGACACCCAUAAUUGAAAAUGACAUGUAAUUAUCUUUUUCUUUUGGAUGUUGGUGCCAUUUAAUUGAUUUUUAAUUUAAUCCCAACAUUGACAAGGACCAACUUAGUACAGUUUUAUAAGAUUAAGAACCAGGAAGGCAAUUAUAGUUUUACACUUGACUGGGCACUCCUACUCCUUGCUUGCAUCGAUCAUUAUAUUAAAUUUCAUUACUGUAUAUGAAUCAAAGCACAACUGUGGAAAUCCAUUGAAUUUAUGGAAUGAAGGAAUUUUCAAUGUUAUCGUAGAGAGAGAUAGAAGGGUGAUGGAAUGGAUAUUGGUAAGUAGGAGAAAUGCUAAAAAGACUCUAAAAAGUGAGGUUCUUUAUGGACUCUUUUAACACUUGAUAUUUUUAGUACAAUAUUUCAUAAUACGAGAAUUAACGUUAAACUGUAAAAUGACAGAGAGUUUUUAAAAAGUUUCAUUUUGAGAGAGAAUCCUUAGCAUUUUUCAGGUAAGUAGAUAGGUAGGGCCAAAGACUGGUUUACUGAAUGUUUGAGGUUGGUUUGUUUAAAUUAAGGGUAAUGCUAAGGAGAUUAAAUUUGGAGAUCAAAUUUACAAACUAAAUGAUGUGUCACCAAUAAGAAUAAGCACGUUUAUCAAUGUGUAAGUAAUAAAUCAAUCAUCAACUUCCAUAUCCUUUAAUUUUCAAAUUUUUAUUUACAAAUUUAAUUUUUCUAAC